AAAAAUUCAGCACCCAAUAUGAUAAGCUUUCAACUUUUAUUAAGGAUAGUGGUGCUGCAUUUUUUAAUGGGACUUGCAAUGGCUCAACAAAAACAACUGAUAAAAUACUUGUUCAGGGACUAUCAUAAAGAAUUAAGGCCAGUAAAAGACGAGUCAAGUGGUCCAACAAAUGUCACAGUCCAAUUAUAUUUCAAGCAAAUUCAAAAAGUUCACGAAAAUGAUCAAAUAAUCACCCUUUACUGCUGGAUCGAAGAAUAUUGGCAGGAUGAGUUUUUGACAUGGAAUCCAUCAGAUUUCGGGAACAUUAAGUCACUUCAUGUUCCGUCGGAGAUGAUUUGGAAGCCAGAUUUGCUAGUCUAUAAUAACGCCAACAUGAAUAUCAAGGAGAACGAAAUGCAGACUAACGUUCAAAUCGAGCAUACGGGAAAGAUUUCACUUUUUCGAGCAAUAAUCACAGAUAUCACUUGCGACUUACAAAUGGAAAAAUUUCCAUAUGAUCAGCAAAUUUGUUUCAUAAUGUUGGCGUCCUGGUCCUACGAUGGGUCUCAGAUUAUGCUGAACACAGCCGAGCAGCCGACGGAGGCGCCGCUGGAUAUUAAGAAUACAACAAACCUUGCAAUUCUCAACCACUACAUCCCAAAUAUGGAGUGGAAAUUGGUCGAUUUCCGAUAUCGCAACAAUCUCAAGUACUACGAUUGUUGCCCAAACCCGUACCCUGACAUUUCAUACUUUUUCGCGAUUAAACGAAAUCCGAGCUAUUACCUGUUCACGCUGAUCAUACCGUCGGCAUUCAUCACCAUAGUCACAGUGAUCGGAUUUUUCACCCCGCACUCAUCGACCGGAGAGAAUACGGAAAAAGUCAGUCUAGGAGUCACUGCACUGCUCUCACUGGCUAUUAUUUUAAUGAUGGUGUCCGACAAACUACCGGCAACAUCAAAUUCGGUGCCUCUUCUCGGGCAAUAUUACAUUGGACUGAUCUUCAUCAUGUUCUUGGCCACAUAUUGCACCACAUUCACAUUAGGAAUACAGAUGCAGGGAAAUGCGGGUCGCCCGAUAACCCGUCGCCUCCGAUCCUUCCUCCUCUCAAUUCGAAUGAAUCGGAACUCGUUUGUCCAGUGGUUUUUCGGGCGGGAGCUCAUGAAUACCCAGGAGAGCAUCAAGAUGAGACUGAAAAAAUAUCACAACAAGACCGCUUCGCUCAUCGAGCAAGAGUCUAUAGAUAGCUCGAAGCUUCUGGAUCCGGCAAUGUACAAUGUGGUGGUGGAUGUGUUGAGUUCUGUGCAAUCGAUUCGGCAGGAUUUGACGUCACAGGAGCAUUUGAAGAGGAUAAGAAAGGAAUGGCAGAUGCUUGCAAGGUAAUCGCUACGAGACCCAACGCUACGAGACCCUGCGCUACAAAGCCUAUCGCGGUAGAUCAGAAGACCUUUUCUGAAUAUUUAAUCAAUUUUAUUGGGGGGGGGGGGGGGGGAGCAAAAUAAUUUUUUGCACAUGAUCAUCUGAAAAAUGCAAUGACCAAAAAAUUGGUGGCAAAAAUUUAAUUGCAGGGGCUUUUUCAUUUUUUCCUUUUGUGCGUUCCAACGAAUUCUGGCAGGAAAAUUAGAAACUACAAACUACAAACUACAAUAAACUAGUUUUUUUUUCCAAAUUUUCCUGUGUUUUCGAAAAUUACUGUUACGAGUUAAAAACAUCUAAAAAUUAAGAAUUUCGUAUUUCCAUUUUCAGAAAAAUCUUGAAAAAUAGAAAAAAAAAACAUUGCCGAUACUUGCUACAAACUAUAAACUACAAACUACAAACUACAAACUACAAUAAACUAGUUUUUCCCAACUUUCCUGAUUUUUCGAAAAUCACUGAUUUAAAAAAGUUUCAAAAUGAAAUUGGUGAGACCGAUCGUGGUGAGACCCAUCGUGAUGAGACCCAUCGUGGUGAGACCCUUCGUCUCGAGUCCUUUCCCUAAAACACAUGGUGUCAAAAUGUCCCAUUUUGAUUUGAUCUUCGAGAAAUGCGGGAGAUGAGACGCAGACUUUUCAACUGAUUUCGCAUGGUUAAGAGUGUGCUGACGUCACGUUUUUCUGAAUGCUCGAAAAAAUCAUAAUGUGGAUAUUCAUCAUUUCCACAGUCGCAUUUGCGUCCUUCAUGCUCUACGACACCCAGGAUCCGCCGAUUAUCACAAAUGAAGUUAUGCGUUCAAAAUCCACGUGAUAAGUGAAUCUCGACAUAUUCAUUAAUGUACAUAAAUAAAGUAUUGAUUC
rnacentral:misc_RNA from 1 species